AUUGAACGCUGGCGGCAGGCCUAACACAUGCAAGUCGAGCGGAUGAAGGGAGCUUGCUCCUGGAUUCAGCGGCGGACGGGUGAGUAAUGCCUAGGAAUCUGCCUGGUAGUGGGGGAUAACGUCCGGAAACGGGCGCUAAUACCGCAUACGUCCUGAGGGAGAAAGUGGGGGAUCUUCGGACCUCACGCUAUCAGAUGAGCCUAGGUCGGAUUAGCUAGUUGGUGGGGUAAAGGCCUACCAAGGCGACGAUCCGUAACUGGUCUGAGAGGGUGAUCAGUCACACUGGAACUGAGACACGGUCCAGACUCCUACGGGAGGCAGCAGUGGGGAAUAUUGGACAAUGGGCGAAAGCCUGAUGCAGCCAUGCCGCGUGUGUGAAGAAGGUCUUCGGAUUGUAAAGCACUUUAAGUUGGGAGGAAGGGCAGUGAGUUAAUCCCUUGCUGUUUUGACGUUACCAACAGAAUAAGCACCGGCUAACUUCGUG
rnacentral:rRNA from 1 species